UUAAGCGACUAAGCGUACACGGUGGAUGCCUAGGCAGUCAGAGGCGAUGAAGGGCGUGCUAAUCUGCGAAAAGCGUCGGUAAGGUGAUAUGAACCGUUACAACCGACGAUACCCGAAUGGGGAAACCCAGUGCAAUUCGUUGCACUAUUGCAUGGUGAAUACAUAGCCAUGCAAGGCGAACCGGGGGAACUGAAACAUCUAAGUACCCCGAGGAAAAGAAAUCAACCGAGAUUCCCCCAGUAGCGGCGAGCGAACGGGGAAGAGCCCAGAGUCUGAAUCAGUUUGUGUGUUAGUGGAAGCGUCUGGAAAGUCGCACGGUACAGGGUGAUAGUCCCGUACACAAAAACACACUUGCUGUGAACUCGAUGAGUAGGGCGGGACACGUGACAUCCUGUCUGAAUAUGGGGGGACCAUCCUCCAAGGCUAAAUACUCCUGACUGACCGAUAGUGAACCAGUACCGUGAGGGAAAGGCGAAAAGAACCCCGGCGAGGGGAGUGAAAUAGAACCUGAAACCGUGUACGUACAAGCAGUGGGAGCACCUUCGUGGUGUGACUGCGUACCUUUUGUAUAAUGGGUCAGCGACUUAUAUUUUGUAGCAAGGUUAACCGAAUAGGGGAGCCGUAGGGAAACCGAGUCUUAACUGGGCGUCUAGUUGCAAGGUAUAGACCCGAAACCCGGUGAUCUAGCCAUGGGCAGGUUGAAGGUUGGGUAACACUAACUGGAGGACCGAACCGACUAAUGUUGAAAAAUUAGCGGAUGACUUGUGGCUGGGGGUGAAAGGCCAAUCAAACCGGGAGAUAGCUGGUUCUCCCCGAAAGCUAUUUAGGUAGCGCCUCGUGAACUCAUCUUCGGGGGUAGAGCACUGUUUCGGCUAGGGGGUCAUCCCGACUUACCAAACCGAUGCAAACUCCGAAUACCGAAGAAUGUUAUCACGGGAGACACACGGCGGGUGCUAACGUCCGUCGUGAAGAGGGAAACAACCCAGACCGCCAGCUAAGGUCCCAAAGUCAUGGUUAAGUGGGAAACGAUGUGGGAAGGCAUAGACAGCCAGGAUGUUGGCUUAGAAGCAGCCAUCAUUUAAAGAAAGCGUAAUAGCUCACUGGUCGAGUCGGCCUGCGCGGAAGAUGUAACGGGGCUAAACCAUGCACCGAAGCUGCGGCAGCGACACUUAGGUGUUGUUGGGUAGGGGAGCGUUCUGUAAGCCGUUGAAGGUGACCUGUGAGGGUUGCUGGAGGUAUCAGAAGUGCGAAUGCUGACAUAAGUAACGAUAAUGCGGGUGAAAAACCCGCACGCCGGAAGACCAAGGGUUCCUGUCCAACGUUAAUCGGGGCAGGGUGAGUCGACCCCUAAGGCGAGGCUGAAAAGCGUAGUCGAUGGGAAACAGGUUAAUAUUCCUGUACUUGGUGUUACUGCGAAGGGGGGACGGAGAAGGCUAGGCUAGCCGGGCGACGGUUGUCCCGGUUUAAGCAUGUAGGCGGAGCGACUUGGUAAAUCCGGUUGCUUAUCAACGCUGAGGUGUGAUGACGAUGCACUACGGUGCAGAAGUAGUUGAUGCCAUGCUUCCAGGAAAAGCCUCUAAGCAUCAGGUAACAUUAAAUCGUACCCCAAACCGACACAGGUGGUCAGGUAGAGAAUACUCAGGCGCUUGAGAGAACUCGGGUGAAGGAACUAGGCAAAAUGGUGCCGUAACUUCGGGAGAAGGCACGCUGGCAUUAGGUAAAGGGACUUGCUCCCGGCGCCGAAGCCAGUCGCAGAUACCAGCUGGCUGCAACUGUUUAAUAAAAACACAGCACUGUGCAAACACGAAAGUGGACGUAUACGGUGUGACGCCUGCCCGGUGCUGGAAGGUUAAUUGAUGGGGUCAGCCUUACGGCGAAGCUCUUGAUCGAAGCCCCAGUAAACGGCGGCCGUAACUAUAACGGUCCUAAGGUAGCGAAAUUCCUUGUCGGGUAAGUUCCGACCUGCACGAAUGGCGUAAUGAUGGCCAGGCUGUCUCCACCCGAGACUCAGUGAAAUUGAACUCGCUGUGAAGAUGCAGUGUACCCGCGGCAAGACGGAAAGACCCCGUGAACCUUUACUAUAGCUUGACACUGAACAUUGAGCCUUGAUGUGUAGGAUAGGUGGGAGGCAUUGAAGUGUGGACGCCAGUCUGCAUGGAGCCAACCUUGAAAUACCACCCUUUAAUGUUUGAUGUUCUAACUCGGCCCCGUGAUCCGGGGUGAGGACAGUGUCUGGUGGGUAGUUUGACUGGGGCGGUCUCCUCCCAAAGAGUAACGGAGGAGCACGAAGGUUAGCUAAUCACGGUCGGACAUCGUGAGGUUAGUGCAAAGGCAUAAGCUAGCUUGACUGCGAGAGUGACGGCUCGAGCAGGUACGAAAGUAGGUCUUAGUGAUCCGGUGGUUCUGAAUGGAAGGGCCAUCGCUCAACGGAUAAAAGGUACUCCGGGGAUAACAGGCUGAUACCGCCCAAGAGUUCAUAUCGACGGCGGUGUUUGGCACCUCGAUGUCGGCUCAUCACAUCCUGGGGCUGAAGUAGGUCCCAAGGGUAUGGCUGUUCGCCAUUUAAAGUGGUACGCGAGCUGGGUUUAGAACGUCGUGAGACAGUUCGGUCCCUAUCUGCCGUGGGCGUUGGAAGAUUGAGAGGGGCUGCUCCUAGUACGAGAGGACCGGAGUGGACGAAUCACUGGUGUUCGGGUUGUCAUGCCAAUGGCAUUGCCCGGUAGCUAAAUUCGGAAGAGAUAACCGCUGAAAGCAUCUAAGCGGGAAACUUGCCUCGAGAUGAGUCUUCCCUGGGGCUUUAAGCCCCCUGAAGGAACGUUAAAGACUAUGACGUUGAUAGGCUGGGUGUGUAAGUGCAGCGAUGCAUUGAGCUAACCAGUACUAAUGAUCCGUGAGGCUUAACCUU
rnacentral:rRNA from 1 species